rnacentral:tRNA from 1 species
GCCUGGGUGGCUCAGUUGGUUGAGCGUCUGACUUCGGCUCAGGUCAUGAUCUCGCGGUCCGUGAGUUCGAGCCCCGCGUCAGGCU